GACGAACGCUUGCGACGUGCCUAAGAAAUGCAAGUCGAGCGAGGUUGAGGAGCUUGCUCCGAAAACCUAGCGGCGAACGGUCGCGUAACACGUAAGCAACCUGCCCUGAAGUGGGGGAUAGCCCGCCGAAAGGCGGAUUAAUACCGCAUGUGGACGCCUUUUCGCAUGAAUUGGCGUUUAAAGCAGCAAUGCGCUUCAGGAUGGGCUUGCGGCCUAUCAGCUAGUUGGUAGGGUAACGGCCUACCAAGGCGACGACGGGUAGCUGGUCUGAGAGGAUGGUCAGCCGGACUGGGACUGAGACACGGCCCAGACUCCUACGGGGGGCAGCAAUUAGGAAUCUUGCGCAAUGGGCGAAAGCCUGACGCAGCGACGUCGCGUGACCGAUGAAGUCCUUCGGGAUGUAAAGGUCUUUUGCAGGGGAAGAAGGAUGUGACGGUACCCUGCGAAUAAGCCCCGGCUAACUACGUGCCAGCAGCCGCGGUAACACGUAGGGGGCGAGCGUUGUCCGAAUUCACUGGGCGUAAAGCGCGCGUAGGCGGGCUGUUAAGUCGGGGGUGAAAUCCCGGGGCUCAACCCCGGAACUGCCUUCGAAACUGAUAGCCUUGAGGUAUGGAGAGGGAAGUGGAAUUCCUGGUGUAGCGGUGAAAUGCGUAGAU
rnacentral:rRNA from 1 species